GACGAACGCUGGCGGCGCGCCUAACACAUGCAAGUCGAACGAGCGAGAGAGAGCUUGCUUUCUCGAGCGAGUGGCGAACGGGUGAGUAACGCGUGAGGAACCUGCCUCAAAGAGGGGGACAACAGUUGGAAACGACUGCUAAUACCGCAUAAGCCCACGACCCGGCAUCGGGUUGAGGGAAAAGGAGCAAUCCGCUUUGAGAUGGCCUCGCGUCCGAUUAGUUGGUUGGUGAGGUAACGGCCCACCAAGGCAACGAUCGGUAGCCGGACUGAGAGGUUGAACGGCCACAUUGGGACUGAGACACGGCCCAGACUCCUACGGGAGGCAGCAGUGGGGAAUAUUGCACAAUGGGGGAAACCCUGAUGCAGCGACGCCGCGUGGAGGAAGAAGGUCUUCGGAUUGUAAACUCCUGUUGUUGAGGAAGAUAAUGACGGUACCCAACAAGGAAGUGACGGCUAACUACGUGCCAGCAGCCGCGGUAAACGUAGGUCACAAGCGUUGUCCGGAAUUACUGGGUGUAAAGGGAGCGCAGGCGGGAAGACAAGUUGGAAGUGAAAUCUAUGGGCUCAACCCAUAAACUGCUUUCAAAACUGUUUUUCUUGAGUAGUGCAGAGGUAGGCGGAAUUCCCGGUGUAGCGGUGGAAUGCGUAGAUAUCGGGAGGAACACCAGUGGCGAAGGCGGCCUACUGGGCACCAACUGACGCUGAGGCUCGAAAGUGUGGGUAGCAAACAGG
rnacentral:rRNA from 1 species